rnacentral:misc_RNA from 1 species
UGGGGUUGCGGGCUUCAAUAAUGAGGUCGGCUCUCCUUAAAUGCAUUAGUGGAACUUUUGUGGACCGUCUAUUGGUGUGAUAAUUAUCUACGCCGUGGAUGUGAAGCAGCUUUAUGAAGUUCUGCUUCUAACCGUCCAUUGACUUGGACAAUUUUUGACAAUUUGACCUCAAAUCAGGUAGGACUACCCGCUGAACUUAA